AGCGUAGGCGGUUCGGUAAGUCAGAUGUCAAAUCUCUCGGCUUAACUGAGAGGGGUCAUUUGAUACUGCCGGACUUGAGGGCAGUAGAGGAAGGUGGAAUUCCCGGUGCAGUGGUGAAAUGCGUAGAUAUCGGGAGGAACACCAGUGGCGAAGGCGGCCUUCUGGGCUGUUCCUGACGCUGAGGCUCGAAAGCGUGGGGAGUGAACAGGAUCAGAUACCCUGGUAAUCCACGCCCUAAACUGUGGACACUAGGUACAGGGAGUAUCGACCCUUCCUGCGCCGUAGUUAACGCGUUAAGUGUCCCGCCUGGGGACUACGGUCGCAAGACUAAA
rnacentral:rRNA from 1 species